rnacentral:lncRNA from 1 species
GACCUCUCCGACGGACAAUCUUUAGAUGAGCUUCCAUAUCAGGCAAAUUCCACACCGACUCUUCUAGCAAUCGGACUCUUAUCAGACUUCUCCAGCAGAAAGUCUCCGUUCGAGCUUCUACAGCAGAUGACUACCGCCUGCAGCAUCAGCGCCCAAGGCACCCGACAACAGUGGACUCAUCAGCAACCUCAAAAAUAUUUGACCUUCUUUUAGAUUACUGAGACAGAGAGCCAUUCCGCUCCAUC